UCCAUAGGGUCACCCUAAAAAAAAAAAAACUCCAUCAUAGGGUCGAGUGGUUCGACCCACCCCUCGCGACUUCCUUCAGGCGAGCUGCUCGGAGCGCCGCCCUCUUCUCGGGGGCCGCCACCACCGGCGGCGUGGGACGCGAGCUGGAGGUGCGCAGGGGCUUCAGCCACCUGAAUCGCGCGCACGCGAGCAGGUCCCUCGGCCGGCCGGUAGAAAGCUUUCACUCCUUGGCGAUUGGCAUGGCGAGCCAGGACUCAGAGGGCAGGUAGCUCAUCGCAAGAUCUUGAAUGGGGUAGGUCGAUUUGGGAGGUAAUUGCCGUGGAAUCUAGGAGGAGAUGGCAGUGUUCUCUGAAUCACGGGGUUGUACUGAUGCAUAGAAUAGGUGCACACCUCUAAUGUUGUUUGUUCUUAGCAUUUUUAAUACGGGUCCAACUGGUAGCUGUUGAAUUGCUGAUAGCUAGUAAUAGAAAUCUGCUCUUGUCAGGCUGCCCGUCAGUGAUAUGUGCCGGAGACCGACAAAAUCAGCAGCGCGUGUCAUCCACCUUACUCCAAAAACUAUGGAAACACUGAUAUGCUUGCAAGAUUGGAUGCGAGUCUCGGGUUCAUCCAAAUUUUGCAUGGAAGUGAUUGAGGAUUUUGACGAGUUAUCUGAUCCAGAAAAAUGACAUGCUUAAAUAAAGACAGUGCUUCAUAUACAUUUCUGUAACUCAGACACGCUGCUUUUGUUCAGACAACUGCAAGUGGCAUGGCUAUAGGAACAUGGAAGGUCGCAGAGUCUAUGUGGAGGAGCAUUUUGAGCAGGAACAAAAGUUAUCAUAGAUGUAUGGAGUAAAAAUUCUAAUUGUUGGAUGAAUUAGCACUUGCUGCCUGAUCUUUUCUGAAUGUUAACUGUUCUGAAAGUGUCUUUGUUUCUGAUCUUGUAUUCUCAUGGUUGUUGGAAGCAGAUCAGGUUGGAUUAGCAUAGCCUUUAUAUUUACGUAGCACAA